rnacentral:rRNA from 1 species
GACGAACGCUGGCGGCGUGCUUAACACAUGCAAGUCGAACGGAAAGGCCCUGCUUUUGUGGGGUGCUCGAGUGGCGAACGGGUGAGUAACACGUGAGUAACCUGCCCUUGACUUUGGGAUAACUUCAGGUAACUGGGGCUAAUACCGGAUAGGAGCUCCUGCUGCAUGGUGGGGGUUGGAAAGUUUCGGCGGUGGGGGAUGGACUCGCGGCUUAUCAGCUUGUUGGUGGGGUAGUGGCUUACCAAGGCUUUGACGGGUAGCCGGCCUGAGAGGGUGACCGGCCACAUUGGGACUGAGAUACGGCCCAGACUCCUACGGGAGGCAGGAGUGGGGAAUAUUGCACGAUGGGCGGAAGCCUGAUGCAGCAACGCCGCGUGCGGGAUGACGGCCUGCGGGUUGUAAACCGCUUUCGCCUGUGACGGAGCGUGAGUGACGGUAAUGGGUAAAGAAGCACCGGCUAACUACGUG